UGUCAGUGGCGGGAUCUUGGGGGCGAGAUGAGUUUUGAUUUCAAUCCAACUGGCCCGCAAAGUCCCGCUUCUGGUG
rnacentral:pre_miRNA from 1 species